GAAGGAUGAGAAGCUUCGACUAAGGUUCGAUUCGAGCGCAGCGAGAAAGCGUUGCCGCAGGCAACGACCCGAAGGGCGAAGCGCGCAGCGCUGAGUCAUCCUUCCCCACCACCA
rnacentral:sRNA from 1 species